rnacentral:rRNA from 1 species
GACGAACGCUGGCGGCGUGCUUAACACAUGCAAGUCGAACGGAAAGGCCCUGCUUUUGUGGGGUGCUCGAGUGGCGAACGGGUGAGUAACACGUGAGUAACCUGCCCUUGACUUUGGGAUAACUUCAGGAAACUGGGGCUAAUACCGGAUAGGAGCUCCUGCUGCAUGGUGGGGGUUGGAAAGUUUCGGCGGUUGGGGAUGGACUCGCGGCUUAUCAGCUUGUUGGUGGGGUAGUGGCUUACCAAGGCUUUGACGGGUAGCAGGCCUGAGAGGGUGACCGGCCACAUUGGGACUGAGAUACGGCCCAGACUCCUACGGGAGGCAGAAGUGGGGAAUAUUGCACAAUGGGCGGAAGCCUGAUGCAGCAACGCCGCGUGCGGGAUGACGGCCUUCGGGUUGUAAACCGCCUUCGCCUGUGACGAAGCGUGAGUGACGGUAAUGGGUAAAGAAGCACCGGCUAACUACGUG